GACGUAGGAGGCGAGCGUUAUCCGGAUUCACUGGGCGUAAAGCGCAUGUAGGCGGUUGGAUAAGUCCGUUGUUAAAGCCCCUGGCUCAACUGGGAGAGGUCCUUGGAUACUGGUGGACUUGAGGGAUGCAGAGGAAAGUGGAAUUCCCGGUGUAGUGGUGAUAUGCGUAGAUAUCGGGAGGAACACCAGUGGCGAAGGCGGCUUUCUGGGCAUUUCCUGACGCUGAGACGCGAAAGCGUGGGGAGCGAACCGG
rnacentral:rRNA from 1 species